AUGCCAAGAAAUUUAGCAAAAAGUGUUACGGUUGAGUAAAGUUUAUUAUUUUUGAUGAAGAAGUUAAAAAUAAUGGUGGCCACGACUGGACUUGAACCAGCGACCACUACCA
rnacentral:antisense_RNA from 1 species